rnacentral:rRNA from 1 species
CCAGGGCCUACGGGGUGCAGCAGGCGCGAAACCUCCGCAAUGUGAGAAAUCGCGACGGGGGGAUCCCAAUUGCCAUUCUUACCGGGAUGGCUUUUCAUUAGUGUAAAGAGCUCUUGGAAUAAAAGCGUGGGCAAGACCGGUGCCAGCCGCCGCGGUAACACCGGCAGCUCUAGUGGUAGCAGUUUUUAUUGGGCCUAAAGCGUCCGUAGCCGGUUUAAUAAGUCUCUGGUGAAAUCCUGCAGCUUAACUGUGGGAAUUGCUGGAGAUACUAUUAGACUUGAGAUCGGGAGAGGUUAGAGGUACUCCCAGGGUAGAGGUGAAAUUCUGUAAUCCUGGGAGGACCGCCUGUUGCGAAGGCGUCUGACUGGAACGAUUCUGACGGUGAGGGACAAAAGCUAGGGGCGCGAACCGGAUUAGAUACCCGGGUAGUCCUAGCUGUAAACGAUGCGGACUUGGUGUUGGGGUGGCUUUGAGCUGUCCCAGUGCCGAAGGGAAGCUGUUGAGUCCGCCGCCUGGGAAGUACGGUCGGAAGACUGAAACUUAAAGGAAUUGGCGGGGGAGCACCACAACGCGUGGAGCCUGCGGUUUAAUUGGAGUCAACGCCGG